CGGGCACUCAGGGUACGCCCACACAUCGACUUGCAUUGAAAUAGCCGAAGCCAGGACCUUUUCAUCACUCUGGAGCUAAUGCCCCCAAGGCGGGAUCCCCAACCCUGAAGGUGGAGAAGGCACCUCUGGUGCAAAUGUUUCUAUGUUCCCCCUAUCAUCUCCAUCCCUGAGGUUAUCACAG